rnacentral:lncRNA from 1 species
UUUUUUUUUUUUUUUUUUUUUGCUUUUUAGGGCCUCACCCACAGCAUAUGGAGGUUCCCAGGCUAGGAGUCUAAUCAGAGCUGGCAGGUUCAUUAACCACUGAGCCACAAAGGGAACCCCUUUCUUGCUUUUUUUUUUUUUUUUUUUUUUUUUUUUCUUUUUUUUUUUUUGGCCGCACUCACAGUAUGUGGAAGUUCCUAGGCCAGGGAUUAAACCCAGGCCACAACAGCGACCCAAGCCACUGCAGGGACAAGACUGGAUCCUUAAUCUGCUGAGCCGCAAGAGAACUCUAAGUUUUACUCGCUUUAAUUAAUGACCACAAACCCCAAGCACACAUUAAACACAGACCCAGCAGCCCUCCUUUCUCUCUCCCAGGGCUAGUUUCCCUCUCCUAAGACACUGGGACAAAUUCGAGAUAGGCACAAACUCCCUACAGCUCCUCAUCAAAAAGUGAGGUCUUUUUUUUUAAAAAAAAAAAAAAAAGGGAGUUCCCGUCGUGGCGCAGUGGUUAACGAAUCCGACUAGGAACCAUGAGGUUGCGGGUUCAAUUCCUGGCCUUGCUCAGUGGGUUAAGGAUCCGGCAUUGCCGUGAGUUAUGCUGUGGGUCGCAGAUGCAGCUCUGAUCCUGCAUUGCUGUGGCUGUGGUGUAGGCUAGCAGCUGUGGCUCCAAUUCAACCCCUAGCCCAGGAACUUCCAUAUGCCCUAAAAAGCAAAAAAAAAAAAAAAAGAGUAAAUGCACAGGUCUGAGAGUUCUGGUUCCAGAAAGGAUGGAGUAGCUGCAUCUGACUAAUCCCCCUGCUGAUGCUAAUUAUAAAUUCUGGACAAAAUACAAAACCAGCUAUUUGAUGGUACCGGAGGCCAACUGAAAGCAUGCAGAAACUGGAGGGACACAAUCGCUGAGAGACACUCCACGAGCUCUACACGUUGAGUGGCUGACCAGAGGCCACUUCCCAGUUCUCAGAGCACAAUCUUGCUUAAGCAAUCCUACCACAGAAGGAAGGCGAGGUCGGAGUUCAGGGCUACCAGAAUGGCUGAAAUUGAACGGGAAAAUCAAAAAAAGAGCCCCCAAAUCCUUGACUAGCUCCUAAACAACACCUGGUGGGACGAGAUGCCAAGAAACCAAGCAGAAAAAUAAGUCAAACUCAAAGAAACAGCAGAAAAGGCGGGGUAGGGAGUUCCCGUCGUGGCGCAGUGGUUAACGAAUCCGACUAGGAACCAUGAGGUUGCGGGUUCAGUCCCUGCCCUUGCUCAGUGGGUUAAUGAUCCAGUGUUGCCGUGAGCUGUGGUGUAGGUUGCAGACGCGGCUCGGAUCCCGCGUUGCUGUGGCUCUGGCGUAGGCUGGUGGCUACAGCUCCGAUUCAACCCCUAGCCUGGGAACCUCCAU